CCCUGGUGCAGGAGGCGGCCGAGGGAAAACGCCAAAAACAGGCCCGGCUGGAGGCGCUGCAGGAGGCCCGGCGGGAGCUGGAGCAGCGCGUGGGGACGCUCAGGGCGGCCAAGGAGGCGGCGGAGGGACCCGAGCAGGCGGCCCGGGGGGAGCACCGCAGGAAAUGGGGGGAGCAGAGAGCAGCAGCAGCAGCCGCUCAGGACGAGGCCAAAGCGGCCGAAACCUUCACGGAGCUCGACGGGGACGGGGACGGACGG